rnacentral:misc_RNA from 1 species
AAAAAUAAUAAGCUUACCGCAUUUGUGCUUCUUUCUUUUGGUUUAAGUUGGUUCCAUAUUCUUGAUUUCCUGCAUUCUGGUGUUAAAGGUGAGAUGUUGACUAUAAGAAGUGAAAUUAGAGCUUGAUUACACCCGCAACCUUAUCAGCUUGAUGGUAGGUGAAUCUCUCAACUAGGAUGACAACCUAGGAUAAGAUUCCUCUCUCCCUAAUGUGUAAACCACUAAAACAUAGAGCUUGAUCAGCCAUACAUGAUAUCUUUUCUUUUUCUUUAUGAUU